rnacentral:lncRNA from 1 species
CCCCAGCUGAGAUCUAUGAGGCAUUUAAAGUGGGCCAUGCUUUAUUGGUAAGGCAGGUCAAUCAACAUGUAAUUAAUUUUAAUUAGCACUUCAUUAAACUCUUCACAUGCAGCCAGCUGUUAGCUCCACCAACAGCAGGUGAGUUUCAUUAAAAAAAUAUGUACAAAAUGCUUUCCUGCAUUGUGAAAACUUGAAAGUAAAUGAUUACAAAGCUGAUUCUUAGAUAUAGAAACUUUCACCAGUUGUUCAUUAGUCUGAAUGACAAACAUUCCAGCACGACUGCCAGGAUUUUAAGGUUGCCUUUGAUCCUUGGGGGGCUAAUGAUCAUUAAAUAACGACAUGCAAACCCAAACCACAUUGUGUUGGAUAGUCUUUCUGCAGCCAGACAGUUAUAUUCACAUAACACAGUGAUUGUGACUAUUGAUUAUGUUACAAGCUAAGAAACAGCUAUUUGAUUAAUUUCUGUUGAGGUCUACUGGGUAAUUUGCUGAGGUUUGCUUUGCAGCAAAAACCAUGGCAGCUGCUGCAUGUUGACUUCAGUGAAGCAGAUCUUCUUCAGGAGACUGUGAGGAAGCUAGGAAAUGUGGGAUCUCUGCAGGAUUGCAGGAGAUAUUUCAUGGCUUGUUGCAAGCUUGCUGAGAUGCGUUCAUGGGAUAAAUGAAGUUGAAAAUCUACUGUUAAGAGUUGACAAGGAUGACACCGGCUUCAUGCAUCAGCCCAGCUGCUACUGGUGGAUCAGAAAUUUCUCCAUGCCUCUGCUGUUCCUUAACACAAAAAGUGGUCCGAGUGCCGUCUAGCAAGCUGAAUGCCACGUAAAGGCCACUGAAAGGGCAGUGGGCGUAGUGUGAGUACCAUUCCAUCUCUUUUCCAAGACCAUAGCUGUCAGAGGGAGGCAAAGGUGUAAUUCUUCUGCCAGGGAAAACUAGAAACCAGCCUCGAGAUAGCCAGGUGGUGGCUGAGGGCAGAGGAAGGGCAGCACUCAUUCCCUCCUUGGGUAUC